rnacentral:misc_RNA from 1 species
AUGAGCUAGAUUAAAUACACCAAGUGUAAUUAUUAUCGAUUUUAUUUAAGUUAUUUACAUAUCAGAAUUACGGAAAGGAUUAAUAAAACUGUUAUUUAUUAUCAUUAUUACUUGAGUUAACUUCAUUAUUAUUCAGAAGAACUCUCUCUCUCUCUCCGGAUCAGGAUUUAGGUCUUUUACGACCUGGGAGAGUCAGGUUAUAGUAGACCUGUUUCUCCCUAAAGAAGACUGGAGAACCAGCAAGCUAGUUUUCAAAGCACCCACGUGAAUGGUUUCAUGACGUGUAUAUGUUAAUUAAUGAAAAUUCAACUUUUAAUCACGAUGAUUUGAAACGGAGAAAUUUCGCAUUCAUUUUUUCUUUGAAUAUAUACAGCUUCUACUGUGCCGGGUGGAACAGUCUCAUGAUCGAAAAGAGUGUGUAACGCCUUCGCGAAGAACAAAAAGGCGAUUAACAUUUCCAUCCUGGGCCCCUGAAUGUAGGAGGGGCUUCAGCUUUUGGCGCCACAAGGAAAAUAAACGAUGGGUAGUUCCUCUGGUCCCUACAGCUGAGUCAGACGAAACCUGAAUACUAGAGGAAUUAAUAAAGGCGAUAGUCAGCUAGUUUGUAUAUAUCCAUCCCCUCGGCACAAAGUGGACCCGUCCGCUGACUUAGAUUUCUUGCUUGUUUGAUUACUCGAAGCCUGCUCUUGUCAUUUAAGUACACGCGCUGUGUGGUUAGUCUGUCACCCUUAGGCACUUUCCUUGACAUGACUUCAACUCCGGUCCGUUUGCUACUGAGCACAAACAUUUCCCUGACAAACUGUCCACGGGACUGGUAAGGUACAUGGAUGGCCCUCACUUUACAAGACACUGAAGUGACAUACAAAAGAUUAGGAAUAAAACAGACGUGAAGUAAGAUCAAAUUGUUUUUAUAAGUGAUGACCUGAUAUGAGUCCAAUAUACUUACUCUCGUUUGAUAUUGAUUGUGAAGAUUUCGUAUACAAAAUUCAACCUUCAUUAAGAACUGGAGGAAAAUAUAUAACUAAAAGUAUGUUUACUAUGCAUCGUAACGGAAACCGUAGAAAACGGUCACACAGUAGCCCGAACUGUACGGGAUUUAAUUGAGGAAUUCUGAUAACGUGCGAAGCUUUGCUUAAAUUCUGUGGCAAACUUUUUCCAGUGACGCUAUUGUAACAAAAACAGAGGUGUUUCAUAAGCAUGACAUAGGCUUAGAAAUGAUUAAAGCCGAAAACCUAGGCAAAUCGUGUAAUAAUUAUAGUAGCCAAGAGCUUUCACUUGUGGUUGUUGGCAUUUUGAUGUGAAGUGAGUUUAAGGAUAACGAUUCUGAAAAAAGUACACAAAACUGUAACUAACUGUAACCUUGUUAACAACUUGUGAUGAAAAGUGUUUGGGAAUAUACCGUUUCCAAGGUUACCCUUAAUGGAAAAUUGCCAAGUAAACAGUUUUCAAUACAUUGAAUGGAAAAACCACAAAAAAUGAUCUGCUCCAGACAAACACCUUCAGAUUAAUGUUGUAACAGAAGUAUCGCAAUCAAUGUAACUCCAAAGUAAUCCGUGUGUGUGGGGGGACUGAAUGUUAACCCCCGGACGUGAGGUUCUUGUGUAAGCUUUAAGUCCAUUAAGUUGGUAUAUGCACGUGGAAUUUAUCCUGCGGAGUGCCUAACAAGGCACAUCCUGCGGUCUUUUAAAUUACAUAUAUACUUCUACGGAUGGUGAAACAAGAGAGUGGUGAGUUCUCUACUCGGACCUACCGACCUUUUGAUGUCAAACUGUCCAUUCUCAAGCGUGUCAGUCUGGUCAGCGAUGAUCACAGCAUGUUUGACCCAUCCUGCUACGUCCAGUGCAAACGUACUUCUGACCAGGAUUAUGAGUCAGACGGCUCACUUACCUGGGAAGAUUUCUUCGGGACGACCGUGGAGAUCAGCUCUGGUUUAAUGGAUAUGUAUGAUACACUCAUACGAAAAGACAAGAUUGAAGAGCAGCAGGAUAAGGCCUGUACAGAUAAAGAAGCCCUCGGUAGCUCUGGGGUAAAUGAAACAGCCAAUAAUAGCUUCGGUGAAGUGUCGCCAAGUUAUUCCAACAAAACCCUUCACGAUGAGAAACUUUCCGGAGGACUGCCAGCAACCAGCAGUAGGGAGAGAAAUAUCUUAUCCAGACGGAGUAUGUCUGUUACAGACACAUAUCACACUGUGGGCAAAAAGAGGCCGCUCAGCACGAGUUCCGUGUCGUCUUCGUCCUCGUCUUCGUCGUCUUCCCUUCCCCGCAAUGGUAUAGACGUUAAAAAAUCUUACCUGGCCAGCAUAGAAAGCCUGGAUGACGAUGAUGAUGUGAGUAGAUAUGGGGAGGGACGCACAGGUGCACAUUGUUCUCGAGAUCAGCUACCCCAUGCCAGAGAGAGAAGAAGUCUUGGUAGCCUCUCUGAAUGUGGUGGUAGUGAAGAAAACUCUACUAUCACUUCCCCGUCCCGACAAACUUCAUAUGAUCCGAACCUGGGUCUUAUCGACCGCGUCAUUUUAGAAAUUGUGGACACCGAACGAACCUACGUCAAAGAUCUCAACGAAAUAAUCGAGCUUUUCCAAUCCUUUGUGCCUGAUUAGUGAUUUUGCUGACCGACUACGAUUGCGACUGCGUCGCCUGCCGGCUAGUCCAUGACCUUAGAUGUCAUUCGACACCUGGUUCUCAGCGGUUUAGUGUCUACUUGCUUGGCUCCGGCCUGUCCGACAUAUCGAUAGCGCGUUCAAGGUUAUCUUCACCACAUCCAGAAAUCGGGAAAUACAAAAGUCAGUGAACAAAGUCUUAAAGAUC